rnacentral:tRNA from 3 species
GCGGGUGUGGCGGAAUUGGCAGACGCACCAGAUUUAGGUUCUGGCGCUUCACGGCGUGGGGGUUCAAGUCCCUCCACCCGCA